AGCUUUGUAUAGGGUGAUUUAAGAAACAUCUCAAAGAAGGAGAAGUAGAUUGAGAAGUAUAAAGGGGAUAUUUCAGAGAAUGGGACAAAAUGACUGAGAGUACAGCUUUAAAUGAUGAGGCAAAGGGAAGGUGUGGCAUAUAAAACGCCAGCAUCAGAGGAAUGCAGACCUCUCUUGAAGCAAAGAAAAGGCAUGUCAUGAGAACAUUAAGUUUAAUAUUUUAAGAUCUGAGAGCUAAUUUGGCUCUUCUUAACCUAAGGAAACAACACUAGGUGGAAAUAUUUCAUUUGGAAAGUGUAAAGGUUUAUUAGGGACAAAAGCAAAUGUGCAGAAGAUUGACAAAUUGACACCUGCAGAGAAAGCCAAGGUCAGGAAUUUGAACGUGCUGUUUAAGUGGCAUUUAGGGGUUAUUCCAUGAGUGGAAACAGAAGGAAGGAUUAAGUGGGUGGCGAGGAAUGCCAGGAGAUUUCAUCUUGUCUAUAAUCAAGGAUAUGGAAGUAUAGAGAGCACAUGAAAUAAACAAAGUAAAGGAAGGAGUCAUGAAUAUGAAUGGAGAAAUUAGGUGUAGUGAAAGAUUAAAGGAAGUCAAGACUGCAGGGAAAUAAAAGGAGAGUCAAGGUGAAAUGCCGAAAUGUCAGCCUUACUGCUCCUAUGAUGCUGCUUGGCCUGCUGUGUUCAUCCAGCUCUGCACCUUGUUGUCUCAGAUUUUCCAGCAUCUGCAGUUCCUACUAUCUCUGAUGCAAAUGAAAUCAGCCAGAAUGAAGAGUUGCUCAACAUAGAAUCUGAAGGAGGGAAAAAAGGAAGCCAUCUGGACAUGUACAAAUUCAACAAUGUUAGAGAAACAUCUUGGAAUAUAUACCUGUGGUUCCUGGACUUACUUGGAAAAUUAGUAAAAUAGAUGUCAAAGAAAACAACUACCAAACAGAUGAAAUGUGUAAAUUUAAAUGGUCAAAGAAGAUCAACUUCCUUUAAAAAAGUCUCAUUGCUGGAUCAUAAGGUUCUGGAUCAAGUUUGACACCUGGGCUUACGCACAGGACAAAGCUGAC